GAUGAACGCUGGCGGCGUGCCUAAUACAUGCAAGUCGAGCGAGCACACGAGGUGCUUUCUCUUCUGACGUUAGCGGCGGACGGGUGAGGAACACGUGGUCAACCUACCUUUAAGAUUGGGAUAACCUCGGGAAACCGGAGCUAAUACCGGAUAAUAUAUUGAACCGCAUGGUUCAAGAGUGAAAGACGGUUUUUUUGACACUGAUAGGUGGAUCUGCUCCGCAUUAGCUAGUUGGUAAGGUAACGGCUUGCCAAGGCAACGAUGCGUAGCCGACCUGAGUGGGUGAUCCGCCACACUGGCACUGAGACACGGUCCAGACUCCUACGGGAGGCAGCAGUCGGGAAUCUUCCGCAAUGGGCGAAAGCCUGACGGAGCAACGCCGCGUGAGUGAUGAAGGUCUUCGGAUCGUAAAACUCUGUUAUUCGGGAAGAACAAAUGUGUAAGUAACUAUGCACGUCUUGACGGUACCUAAUCAGAAAGCCCCGGCUAACUACGUG
rnacentral:rRNA from 1 species